rnacentral:rRNA from 1 species
AUCGAACGCUGGCGGCAGGCCUAACACAUGCAAGUCGAACGAGUGGCGGACGGGUGAGUAAUGUCUGGGAAACUGCCUGAUGGAGGGGGAUAACUACUGGAAACGGUAGCUAAUACCGCAUACCAUCCGAUUUGCCCAGAUGGGAUUAGCUUGUUGGGGGGGUAACGGCUCACCAGGGGGACAACCCCUCGCUGGUCGGAGAGGAUGACCGGCCACACGGGACCUGGGAAACGGUCCAGACUCCUACGGGAGGCAGAAGUGGGGAAGAUUGCACAAGGGGCGCAAGCCUGAUGCAGCCAGGCCGCGUGUAUGAAGCAGGCCUUCGGGUUGUAAAGUACGUUCAGCGGGGAGGCGUUACCCGCAGAAGAAGCACCGGCUAACUCCGUGCCAGCCGCCGCGGUAAUUC